rnacentral:lncRNA from 1 species
UCAAUUUUUUCCCAUCUGUCCCCAGUGCAAAGACCAGACGUCCUUUUGAAAGAUAAAGAGCCAUGAAGGAGUUCUUAGUGCCCGUGUGAAACACCAGUCCUCUGGAGGAUGUUGUCUGCAUGUCCACAGCAAACUGUGACCUGUUGGGAACAUUGGCGAUGAAGGGAAAUAGAGGUGUUCAGCGUUCCUUCGAAUCUCAGCACUGAGACAGAGGGUGGGGAGCAAACACCGAACCCCCAUUUUUCAAAUGGAUAAGCUAAGAGAUAUGAAGCGAUCCUAGGACAGAGGAACAAUGCAGAUGACCAGAAGGCUUGGCUGAAGAAGAGGCAGAGCACUGGAACUCCCGUUACUCUCACAGACCCCCCUGCUCUCAGCUUCAGCUGCUGCCUCAGUGAAAAGGGAUAAUGGUGCUGCAACAGCAACCUCACGGGAUGGGAUGAUGGUUCAAUACUAUAUAGGAAUUAUCAUAUGGUGCAUAUAAGAUCCCACAGGACUCCACAGACACACCGAGAUGUAAGACCAAAUGACCUGAUGAAAAUGCUGAUCAAGUUGUUUGCAAAAAUAUCUCUUUUUGGCUAAUGAUCACAGCAUAGAAGCACACCUGGUAAGAUACAGGAUAUAAUAUUUGUUCAGGUUGAAAAUUGACAAUCAGUGUAAUUUCUAUCUGGUUUUACACAUAGUUUUAAAACUGUGCUACAGACAUGAAAUAGUCAAAUACAGAAAUUACCCAUAUCUAGGGCAAGUUCUAUUCUAUACAACAAGUUCUGAUUUAAAAUAAUGCCUUGUUUCUAUUCCUUGGAGCCCACGGAAAGAAAAUAUAAAAAUGAGCCAUCUCCACAGCGAAUGUGGAGAAGCUGCUGGUACAGGUGCCCACCUGGAGGGCAGAUUCAGAUGCACUGGCAGCCCUGUUGGCUGCGUCCUCGGCCGCUUUGAUGGCAUUGAGGAUGUUCUCGUAGGCGGUGGCGGCAUCCACAGCACAGCGCACCAGCUCAUCCCCGCUGGC